AGGUCAAUAGUUCAAUUGGUAGAGCACUAGUCUCCAAAACUAGGUGUUGGGGGUUCGAGUCCCUCUUGGCCUGCCA
rnacentral:tRNA from 1 species